GACGAACGCUGGCGGCGUGCUUAACACAUGCAAGUCGAACGGAGUGGCGAACGGGUGAGUAACACGUUGGUGACCUUCCCUGCACUUCGGGCUAAGCCUGGGGAACUGGGUCUAAUACCGGAUAGUGUGGGAUGGGCCCGCGGCCUAUCAGCUUGUUGGUGGGGUAAUGGCCUACCAAGGCGGCGACGGGUAGCCGGCCUGCGAGGGGGGACGGCCACAUCGGGACUGAGACACGGCACAGACUCCGACGGGAGGCAGGAGUAGGGAAGAUUGCACAAUGGGUGGAAGCCCGAUGCAGCGACGCCGCGGGGGGGAUGACGGCCUUCGGGUUGUAAGCUCCUUGCACCAUAGACGCGAUAGAUGGCGAAGAAGCACCGGCUAACUACGUGCCAGCAGCCGCGGUAAUUC
rnacentral:rRNA from 1 species